GAUCUCGUCCUUUCCGAGGUCCUCUGCCGCGUGUUUGGAAGUUAUGGCCGCGCGGGUCUGUGGUGUUCUCCCUGAAAGGCCUAAGCUUUGGGUGAUGGCAUUGCCUUUUGGCACUCGGGAGACAAGAUGCAGGUUCCGUCUCAGAAGUAAUGGCUGGAUCCCUGAAAGCCAACGGGCUCGGUGUGGUCCACCCGUCAGAAGGCAUAGGUAGAUGGUGGGCAUCUGCCUCAGACAUAGUUCUCAAGUUCAGCCAGAAGAAUGCGCGUUGAGCCCUCUGCAGCCCGUGUCGACGGAGGUGUUGUCUCCAGGAAGCAUCAUGGAAAGGCGUGGUGGUGCACAAGGGCCUUCAGGAUGCCUGCGCCUGGUGACGGCUGCGCCUCAGGUUCUGGGCCUGACUCGGAAGGGUGCCUGUGAGCAGAAGAGCUGGCACGCGCAGCUCAGUGGACCAUCAGUGCCAACCCGUCCUGUACCCUGGCUGAGGGGUGUGCUAAGUGGCAGAUUCCCGGUUGGCUCAUCGUAAGGCGUGGCACAAAAUCACCAUCGAAAGAAAGGGCCUUCGGGAUGCCUCUAUCUGGUUAUUGCCCUGUAGUGCCAGAGAGAACCACAUAGCCUGCUGCUGCUCCUGCCUUUAAUUUCCCAAAGAGUCAUCAGACGACCUUGGAGUUUGUUCUGCAAGAGGAGCCAGUAAGGCCUCGUGACUGUGGUCACCCUCGGAAGCCUUUGACAGCUAGCUGGUGAGGGCGCUCAGUCGGAGGCCCUGGGGAGGCCCCUGCUAAGCCGAGAAAAGCAUUUCUCACAGUGGAUUUCCUGGAAGUCAGGGUUGGCCUUUGUAUUUUGAAGCACAAAUAAACUUUAUAAAAUUUAAAAAAAAAAAAAAAAAAA
rnacentral:lncRNA from 1 species